UAAAUUGACGAGCCAAAUAUCACUCCUCAUCCUUCCGAUGUAAAUCCACUCUCCGACACCCUCGAAGUCGGUAAUCGGUCUCAGUUAUGGCGAUGGAAAACGAUCGACGCACAGCAGGAGUGGAGGAAGACGAGAGCGACGAAGCCCUAGAAUUCCUUCUAGAAGCUUCUAAAACCCCCGGGGGACGCGCCCACCUCGCCUCCACCGGAGCCCUCGCCGCGGCGCUCCGCCGCGUUUCCUCCGACACCUCGUCCGCCCUCCUCCCCUCCCUCCGCCUCGUCAGGAACCUCUGCGCCGGGGAUGCCGUCCACCAGGACGCCUUCGUCGAACUCGGCGGUCCCGAUCGAAUCGCCUCCGUCCUGUUGAGCACGCCGCCGGCGUCGCCGGACGUCGCCCGUGUCGCGCUGCAGGCGAUUGGGAACCUCGCCUGUGGUGGAGAGGCACAACGGUCCGCCGUGUGGGCCCGCUUCUUCCCGGCCUUGUUCCUCGCAGCGGCUCGGUACCGGGACCCGGCGGUUUGCGAUCCCCUUUGCAUGGUUUUGGAUACGUGCUGUUCAUCCGAGGGGGGGCAUCGGAGGUUGGCGGAGCUUUGCGAGACCAAGACCGGACUGCCAAUUAUUCUGGAGAUCGUCACCACAGCUUGCCGAGCUGGUCAUCAAGAGGAGUGGUUGGAUUGGCUCCUUUGCAAAGUUUGCAUUGAAGAGGCAUACCUUUCACGUCUUUUUCAAGGAUUAGCCUCACCAAGUACAGAUAACUCCAUUGAUGCUCAGUGCAGAUAUUCCUUCUUCACUAGAGAGCAGGCAUUCCUUCUUGGAAUGCUAUCAGAAUACUUGAGUAAUCGACCUAAAGAUGUUUCCAUGAUUUCCAGUCCUUUUGCACUUGAAGUUCUGAAAGUUCUAGAUAUAGCUUCUGCAAUUGUUGAUUUUUCAUCUCGAGGAAGUUCUGAUGUACCCACUGGCUUCCCUGCAAUUGAUGUUCUAGGCUAUUCUCUUACAAUUUUGAGGCAUAUUUGUGCUUGGGAAAAUGAUAUUGCUCAUGCUACAGAAGCCCCUGUCGACUUGUUGCUAUCUGCAGGCCUUCUACAACUUAUUUUACGUUUACUUGGUGAACUUGAGCCACCAGCAAUUAUAAGAAAAUCCAUGACAAACGUGGAUCACUUUAUACAGUCAUCAACGGCUUUAAAGGUCUGCCCUUAUAAGGGGUUCCGGAGAGAUUUAGUAUCCGUUAUUGGAAAUUGUCUACACGGAAGGAAGCAAGUUCAGGUGGAGAUCAGACAGCAAAAUGCAAUUCCUUUGCUUUUGCAACAGUGUGUUGUUGAUGAAGACAACCCCUUUCUAAGAGAAUGGGGACUAUGGUCAAUGAGGAACUUGCUAGAGGGAAAUCCAGAAAACCAGCAUGAAGUAGCUCAACUGCAGCUGCAAGAGCCUGUCAAUACACCUGAAAUUGCUGGAAUAGGCCUAAGAGUCGAAAUAGAUGAGAAAACUGGACACCCGAAGCUGGUAAAUAUUGUAUGAGAGAAUGGAGUAUGAAGUUCUCAGACAAGUUUGUUCAGACUUGUCAGGUACAAAUCCAACAAAUCCAACAAAUCCAUACCUGGUGCCUGACAUGAUUAAAGGCAAUGUAUCACAUUUUUAAAUGUUUUUCUGUAUAACUCCAUCAUAUCUAUAAAAGGAAUUCUGCUUUUGUUACUUAUUUAACCCAUGUUCAUUUUAGAUGAUAGAUAGGCUUUCGAUAACAUGAACUAAUAUUUAUUAAGGACAACUUAUGUUUGGGUAAGUAUAUGUUCAUUUGUUGUUAAGUUGGUCACAUUAAUGCACUUUUCUAUACAACAUGAACAAUUAAUUUAAGAAAACUGGCUGAUAAUGUUCAAAAAUAUCUUUAGAGAUGACAUAUUUACUGGAUCUAAAAAUUAAAUUGGUUUUAUUAAUUGGUUAAGGUUGUAAUGUUGCAAUCCACAUGCAUUAUGUAUUCAGAUUGUAAAAAGUCCGAAGUCCGUAGAAGUACUUACAUCUAGUAGGUCUUUCCUCCUAAAACUUUAAAUGACUGCAUGCCUAAAUUAAAAUUAAGCAUAAAGGUUUCCUUAACCUAUAAAAGGGUUGUGCCUUAGUUAUCUCAUUACCUUUUAAAUUAAGUUAGCUGUUGAUUGCAACUCUAUGUUGAAAUAGCUCAAUGAUAUAUUUAGCUUCAAAACCAGCUUUGAACAUGAACCCAACAUUUUAGCUGGUAUUACAAUGCAAAAGUAUACUUUGGCAAGAGAGGGAAUUCCCAUAAAGUAAGAACUCGUGUUUAUAGGUAGAAAUAUAACUGUUGCUGUUAAAUUUAACCAUGAACUAAGUAAUGACAAUGCUUUCCUGGAGGUAGUUUAGACGAAGGGGAAGAAUCAAGCUUGAGAUUUGUAAUGCUGAGGCAUUUCAUGAUCAAAGCUCAUAUGUUUAUAGUAAUCUUGUAUAAGUACUUUGAACAGCACAAGUUCUGAAUACAUUGUUGCCCUGCCACGUACAAUGUGUAACCAUUCUAACAAAAAUGAAGGUUCCCACCAAAAAUUUUAGUUCUGCAUGAUACUAUUAGGAUCUUGAUGUUAAGUAAAUUUCUUGAUUGCUGUACACCCUGGUGGUUCUGUUCUGUUAACACUGUAUGCUAGUAUUGUAAUAAUCAGGAGAAUUGUUCGAAAUUGUUUCACACAAACAUUGACUUGAUAUACAUUCAGCAUUGCAUUCUUGAUAAUUAGCAGAGUUUUGGCUUGUGUUCCUUUUAAAGUAUUUCUAUAUUCCAGAAAUAUUGGCUGGUUAUCUUUUCUGCAUGCUGCCGCUGCGGUUCCAGUAACUGUUUUCUGUGUAGGCUUAUUACAGCCAAUAGAAGUAAUCAUGUUGAACUCUGUUAGUACUUUAAUAAUCUGGCUGACAUUUCUUCCUUUCCAACCAAACAUUUCUUACCUUAUGAAUUAUGAUAGUUCAAAAUUAUGCCCAUGAGUUCAUGUGACAUAUUUCAAGUGUUGAAGCUUUCUUUCAGUCAACUAUUGAGAAAAAUACGAGUAAAAAAGUUGUUGUUCUGUAGAUUAAUACUAAUUGUACAAUUAUCUUCGUAAUUGUAAGCAAAAAAAGCUGAUCUGUAAGGAACUCUCCUUAUGUAGGGAUUAUCUUUCUGGCAUAACUUUUUAACUACUGUCUUUCUGGUUUAUACUUUUUGAAUUUAAGCUGCAAUCCUUUUUUCCAUUUGCACCUCACAUUUAGGAGAUGUAACUUAACCAGUCAUUUCCACUUUCUGGGGCAUAUCUGCUUAACAGCUGGUUAAUUACCGUUGUUCUCUAUACUUGCUCACUCCUGGUAUUGGAGUCUGACCACAAAACAGCUUCAUAACAAGUUAUAGGAACUUUACCAUGACUCCUAGCACUAUAGUGUGUGCAGGAACCAGCAAAUGCAACUUGCAUACGCCAAAGUCCAUGAUUCCAACUUAAUUGCUGUAACUUGUAUGUUAUCCUUGGUUUACAUAUUUUAACCCUGGUGGAAGUCCUACUUUUUGCUUACUCUGAUUGUGUUUGAACUUCUUGCAUUGAUCUUCUCUUGCAGGCAAAACUCCUUUGACUAUAAACAUUGAUAUUAUUACUUUUGUCAUUCAAGUUGCUGUAUCAGUCACCAAGCUUGACAGAUCAAGCAUGAGAAUGCACAGCUGGUCAGCUACAGUUAACAGUCAGUCACAAAGAAGAAUGACUGAGAGUUGUCGAGGACAUCAUGAUAAUCAUCUGUUAGCAAACUCAAUAACAGAAGGAUCUUGUACCAAAUUCAAUGAAGCUGGAUCCAGUAGAGCUGACUGUCAACUCAAUGUCACCCCACUGUUUAUAAUUGGAUCUUGUAACGUUGGUGCGAACCUUGAUCGAGUGCAACAAGCUGUUGUGGCAUCAGAUAUGAACUCCAUCCAGCAACAAGAGUGCCCCUUACUAAUGGACGUGUGAAGAAGUUAAUCGGUGCUUCGGUAAGGUGAAGCCCAAGUGAGUCCUAACCUCCCUUUUCUUGUUAAUAGGGGUUGCUUAAUUGCGUGCAAAUAAAUCGCUUAUAAAUUUAUUUGUAGUAGGUAAUCUAUUUGCAGACAUUAUCUACAAGUAGAUUGCCUGUGGGCAGAAUGUAUAAAGUGGUCUGCACUGCCCUGUUCCUGCAAAGAGGAGGUUCAUUGCCUCCAACAUUAGCAGGUAUUAAAUGAAAUAAAGCAUGUUUUUGUUUUCCCAAA